rnacentral:lncRNA from 1 species
UUUCAUUGAUUACUUUUUUCCCUCUUUCUCUGAAUGCUCAAACAUCUUGAUUGACAUUGCCAAAAUAAUCAUUGGUAUGUUGUCUUUUACUGUAGCCAAGGAUUAUCUUUUUACAUAUUUUAUUACGUGUAAGCCUAAUUCUGGUCAACUAUAUGUGUAUAUGAAGUUUUGAACAUACAUACAAAUUAAUGCUAUGUCAUACCCUGCACUUAAGAAAAAUCCAAUUACUAACACGUCUCAUGCUUUGAACUUUUUUUUUAGCUUUGUUAAACAAAUAAUUAAAUUUACUUUAAGUGAUUACCAUUACCAUGACUCUUCUCCUACGAAAUGGUCAGGGUUAACCGUUAACACCACAAUAAUAAAAGAGAAAGACAUACAUUGACUUUAUUGUUCAAAUCGCAUUAUCUCAUUUAUUAUUUGCACUUCUUUAUAAAACAUAUUUGUACUCUUAGAUAUACUGUAACUUGUGUGUAUGUAUGUAAUGGAUAAUGCAGUGAGAAUCAGAAAUAGAACUAAUCGGUGCAUAGUUUUGUUUUAGGAAAUUAUUCAAUGCAUAGUUAUCUUCCAGUAAUGUAAGCCACAACAUUUUCGAGAGGUUCGGUUAAAGAAGUAAUGGACGGCUAUGAGAAAGCAUCAUAUCAGAUCAUAUACAUCACAUACAAUUGUUUUAACUUUUUAUCUCCUUCAUCAAAAUCCCACUUGUCAUUAUUCACCACAAUAACUGAUCUACAUGUAAAUAAAUUUUGUAUUAAAAAUUGAUAUUGAUUAUAUUUUUUUUAAUUUCUAUUAAGAUGUGUAAAUCUCUCUUGUGGUUCAGGAGCAUGAGAGCUAGUGUUGCUCCGGAUGUUACUCGGUCUCUCCAACAAGUGGUAUCAGAUCUCUAACUCAGGUUGGUUGGUACUGCACGAGUAAAAUCGUUGAGUUCAAUGACGGAUUCAGAAAUUUUAAAUAGUAG